UGUUGAUACAACAUUAAUGGUGGAAUCAAGUCAGGGGCGGAAGCCAGCAGCUUUAACAUUUAAUUAAUGUGUGUAUCUUUUUUU
rnacentral:SRP_RNA from 2 species